rnacentral:rRNA from 1 species
GACGAACGCUGGCGGCGUGCUUAACACAUGCAAGUCGAACGGAAAGGCCCCUUCGGGGGUGCUCGAGUGGCGAACGGGUGAGUAACACGUGGGUGAUCUGCCCUGCACUUUGGGAUAAGCCUGGGAAACUGGGUCUAAUACCGAAUAGGACCGCAUGCUUCAUGGUGUGUGGUGGAAAGCUUUUGCGGUGUGGGAUGGGCCCGCGGCCUAUCAGCUUGUUGGUGGGGUAAUGGCCUACCAAGGCGACGACGGGUAGCCGGCCUGAGAGGGUGUCCGGCCACACUGGGACUGAGAUACGGCCCAGACUCCUACGGGAGGCAGCAGUGGGGAAUAUUGCACAAUGGGCGCAAGCCUGAUGCAGCGACGCCGCGUGGGGGAUGACGGCCUUCGGGUUGUAAACCUCUUUCAGUAUCGGCGAAGCUCCAGGAUUUUUCUUGGGGUGACGGUAGGUACAGAAGAAGCACCGGCCAACUACGUGC